AGUAAGUAAAAUAUAUUGGGAUGACAAAAUAUGAAAAAUAAAGAAAGAAUAAUGAGUAAAAUAAAUAAAAUGUAGAAAAAAAAUGACAUAACAAUUUAAAGAAUACAGAAAUAAACAAUACCCCCAAUCCGGACCCUCAUGGUAUACACGAGAAUCUGGAUGGAAACGCAGAAUAUAGAAUAAUAUAUAAGGACAGUAGAGAGUGAUACAUUGCUAAAAGCGAGAGAAAAUUAAUACUUGUUUAAGAAUACACACAUGAAACACCGAUGGCUGUUGAAACAGUAACGGAAUGCGAUGUACUUAUAUUGGUG
rnacentral:lncRNA from 1 species